UAAAUCUUUGGUAAAGCUUGGCUUAUUGACAGUAUUAGAGAUUGUUCUUGUAGGCUUAUCUGUUCUUUUUCUACAUGAGAUGUUUAAGGGACAAAAGUAGAUAGACUUGCAGGAAAUAGAAGCUUGUAUGCAUUUUCCUUGUAGGCCUAUUUCUUUUUAUUUAAUUUAAUAUGGCGGAUGUUUUAGAGAAGAAAUGAUAAGACUAUCA
rnacentral:lncRNA from 1 species